ensembl:lncRNA
GGGUUUAUAGGCUAAAUAUGGCAACUCCUCUUGCUGCGAAAAUAAAUGUUUGGGCUAGUUUCAAGGUCUACCCUGGUGGUGGUGCUCGUGCUUCAAAGUUAUGCAGUAAUCAAAGGCAAUCAUAUAGGAGGGUGAUUUUUACUAAGGAGGAGAAGGAGGCCGUGCUGACCGAUGCAUGGUGGCAAUUUCGGAGUGAAGCGCAUGAUUGCCAAAAUCAACCUACACUUCUUCUGAUGAGGAAUUGUCUUUAAAAUAAAAAGCCCUUUCUCCCCAAUUUCGUGGUAUCCAAUUGUUAGUAGCUACUAUCUUGUCUCAUCGCUACUCGGGAGAGACGAAGGUUGAAAGUCAUGCGUCCUCCGAUACACAACCCAACCAAAGCAGCACUGCUUCUUAAAACAGCACGCAUCCAACCCGGAAGCCAGCCGCACCAAUGUGUCGGAGGAAACACCGUGCACCUGGCAACCUUGGUUAGCGUGCACUGCACCCGGCCCGCCACAGGAGUCGCUGGUGCGCGAUGAGACAAGGAUAUCCCUACCGGCCAAACCCUCCCUAAUCCGGACAACGCUAGGCCAAUUGUGCGUGCCCCAUGGACCUCUCCAAUUACGACAGAGCCUGGGUGCGAACCCGGGGUCUCUGCUGGUGCUGCAGUACAGCGCCCUUAACCACUGCGCCACCCGGGGGGCCCCCUGAUGUGGAAUUGUCAAGGAGGUGGACAGCUGGGCAAGGGAAGUUACCUUUUUGUUUAUCAAUCACAUUCUAUUAUAUCUGAAAUUAUUAUGAUUUCAAUUAAUGUCAUUUCAGAGAGCACAUAAUGUUUCAAUUUGUCACUUUUGCUUAAAGGUCAGUACCCUGUCCAGAAGUUUGAGAGGGCGAAGACUGCCGCGCCGGACUUGAAGCCCAUCGAAGUUGUUACACCAUGGCACAUGAUCGAUCGGGGUGGACCUUAUCGGACCCUUCACUGAAUCCAGCAAUGGCAACAGCUGGUGUCUGACGGCGACCGAUCUCUUUACCAAGUGGUU